rnacentral:rRNA from 1 species
UACGUAGGGGGCAAGCGUUGUCCGGAGUUACUGGGUGUAAAGGGCGUGUAGGCGGGAAGAUAAGUCAGAUGUGAAAUUCCAUGGCUCAACUGUGGCGCUGCAUCUGAAACUAUUUUUCUUGAGUGAUGGAGAGGAAAGUGGAAUUCCUAGUGUAGCGGUGAAAUGCGUAGAUAUCGGGAGGAACACCUGUGGCGAAAGCGGCUCACUGGACCACAACUGAACGCUGAGGCGCGAAAGC